UGAGGAAUAUUGGGCAAUGCCCGCAAGGGUGACCCAGCAACGCCGCGUGGAGGAUGAAUGUCGUAAGAUUGUAAACUCCUGUUAGAGGGGAAGAAUAGUACCGGUUGGACCGGUAUAUGACUGUACCCUCAGAGAAAGCCCCGGCUAACUACGUGCCAGCAGCCGCGGUAAUACGUAGGGGGCAAGCGUUGUCCGGAUUUACUGGGUGUAAAGGGCGCGCAGGCGGGAUAAAAAGUCAGUGGUGAAAUCCUACAGCUUAACUGUAGAACUGCCUUUGAUACUUUUAUUCUUGAGUUAGGGAGAGAGAGACGGAAUUCCAGGUGUAGUGGUGAAAUACGUAGAUAUCUGGAAGAACACCAGUUGCGAAGGCGGUCUCUUGGUCCGACACUGACGCUGAGGCGCGAAAGCGUGGGGAGCAAACA
rnacentral:rRNA from 1 species